CAUUAAAACACCAGUUCCCGUACAAUCAUCAAAGUUAAACAAUGUCAAGCCUGGUCAGUAACUAGAUGGGUGACCACUUGGAAAUACCAGGUGCUGUAUGC